CGACAAACCACCUAACAGAAAUUGUUCUCUUCUUCACAAAGAUACUGCGUUUACACUAAGCAAGAGAUCCUCUGACCCACAGACCUGCUUUUACACAGAAUAAGUCUAGAGAAUCUGAAACAGCAAGUGAAUGAAUUGAAUGAAGGACUGGGCCACUGGAUGCUGAUGCUACACCACACAUGAAAGCAGUAAAAUAAGUGGGAUGAGCAGAAGGAAGUCCUCCUCACCUCUCAGUGAGUAUGUCUUUCCUUUGCUUUCCUCAGCAGCAAGUCAGCAACUAAGGUUCUUCUGAGAUGUGGCAGCAUCAACUUUGU